UUUGCAUUAAAAGAAAAUGAAAUGAGGUUGACUUUUAAAAAUAUGCAUGUUUGUUUUUGAAAAGAAAUCAGAAAAAGAAUUUCAAUUAUUUGUUCUGAAAUUACUCAUGAACUUUUUAUGAAAGAGAAAAUAUUUUUGUUAUGAAUGGUGUAAACAUGAGCUUAUUUUUGCAUAUUGUUUCUGAACUUUGUAAAAAGAGCAAAAAUGAGAUUUUUAAAGUUUUGUUAUGGUUAAGACAAAGAUAAUUUGACUUAGUUUUAUUGAAUAUAUGAAAUGAUUUGAAGCUACUUAGUAUUCUGUUUUGAUAUGAUAUGUAAGCUAAAAAACUUUGGCAUGAGUUUCUGAUUUUGCAUUUGAAUAUGAUUUGUGUCCGAUGAUAUUUUUGUCCAAAUUCUGUUGAGGCACCGCCAUGGGUAUAAUAGUGGCAUACAGCCCCACUAUGGGUAUAAUAGUGGCAUACAGCUUCACCACCAGUAUAAUGUGGCAUAAUCCUACCACGAGGGUGAAACAUGGAAUAUGGCCUAGCCAGAGAUAUAAUGGUGGUUAUAACCCUAUCACGUGGGUGAAACAUGGUAUACAGCCCAAUCACGGGUAUAAUGGUGGUUUAUAACCCUACCACAGGGGUUAAUCAAGAUGACUUUGAUGAUAUAGCUGAAGAGUAAUAGAGUAUGUGGCAAGAAUAGUUAAGGGUAGUGGUUGAGCACCUUGGGUAUGACUGUUGUUGGAAGAUUUAUUUAUUAAGUAAUUUGGUUUUAGUAUGUUCAGAUGAUUAUGAAGACUUAUGUAUUAUUUCUAUUCAUUUUGUUAAUAGAAACAUGUGGAGUAGUUGUUUUA